UACGGAGGGGGUUAGCGUUGUUCGGAAUUACUGGGCGUAAAGCGCACGUAGGCGGAUUAGUAAGUUAGAGGUGAAAUCCCAGGGCUCAACCUGGAACUGCCUUUAAUACUGCUAGUCUUGAGUUCGAGAGAGGUAAGUGGAAUUCCGAGUGUAGAGGUGAAAUUCGUAGAUAUUCGGAGGAACACCAGUGGCGAAGGCGGCUUACUGGCUCGAUACUGACGCUGAGGUGCGAAAGUGU
rnacentral:rRNA from 1 species